UUGUUUAUCAAAAACAUGUCCUAUUGUUUAAUUAAUAUUAGGUCUGACCUGCCCAAUGAAAAAUUUUUAAUGGCCGCAGUAUUUUAACUGUGCAAAGGUAGCAUAAUCAUUUGUCUUUUAAUUGGAGGCUUGAAUGAAUGGUUGGACGAGGGAUUAACUUUUUUUACUUUAUUUUUAUGAAUUUAAUUUUUUAGUCAAAAAGCUUAAAUUUUUUUGUUAGACGAGAAGACCCUAUAGAAUUUUAAUUUAUUUAUUAUUUAGGUUAUUAAGAUUUUUUAUAUUUGGUUAAUAAAUAAAUUUUUGUUGGGGUGAUGAUGAAAAUUAAGUAACUUUCAUUAAUAUUAUUUCAUUGAUUUAUGUUUAUUUUGAUCCUUUAUUAUGGAUUACAAGAUUAAAUUACCUUAGGGAUAACAGCGUAAUUCUUUCGGAGAGUUCAUAUCGAUGAAUGGAGUUUGCGACCUCGAUGUUGGAUUAAAGUAAGUAUUAGGUGCAGAAGCUUAAUUACUAAGUCUGUUCGACUUUUAAAUCUUUACAUGAUCUGAGUUCAAACCGGAG
rnacentral:rRNA from 1 species